AUUAUCGAGAGUUUGAUCCUGGCUCAGGAUGAACGCUGGCGGUAUGCUUUACACAUGCAAGUCGUACGCAAGUUUACUUGAGUGGCGGACGGGUGAGUAACACGUGAGAAUUCACCUUUAGGUGGGGAAUAACUUUUGGAAACGAUAGCUAAUGCCCCAUAGACUCGCAAGAGAAAAAAGAGUAAUCUGCCUAAAGAGAAGCUCGCGGCUGAUUAGCUAGUUGGUAAGGUAAUGGCUUACCAAGGCGACGAUCAGUAGCUGGUUUGAGAGAACGAUCAGCUACACUGGAACUGAGACACGGUCCAGACUCCUACGGGAGGCAGCAGUGGGGAAUUUUCCGCAAUGGGCGAAAGCCUGACGGAGCAAUACCGCGUGAGGGAUGAAGGCCUUUGGGUUGUAAACCUCUUUUAUCAAGGAGGAAGUUCUGACGUGUACUUGAUGAAUAAGCAUCGGCUAACUCCGUGCCAGCAGCCGCGGUAAGACGGAGGAUGCAAGUGUUAUCCGGAAUCACUGGGCGUAAAGCGUCUGUAGGUGGUUUAAAAAGUCUGCUGUUAAAAAUUGAAGCUUAACUUCAAAGAUGCCGUAGAAACUUUUAAACUAGAGUAUGAUAGGGGUAGAGGGAAUUUCCAGUGGAGCGGUGAAAUGUGUAGAUAUUGGAAAGACCACCAAUGGCGAAGGCACUCUACUGGGCCAUUACUGA
rnacentral:rRNA from 1 species